rnacentral:rRNA from 1 species
UACAGAGGGUGCGAGCGUUAUUCGGAUUCAUUGGGCGUAAAGCGCAUGUAGGCGGCUUGGUAAGUCUGAUGUGAAAUCCCAGAGCUCAAAUCUGGAAGUGCAUUGGAUACUGCCGAACUAGAGUACAGGAGAGGAGAGCGGAAUUUCUGGUGUAGAGGUGAAAUUCGUAGAUAUCAGAAGGAACAACAGUGGCGAAGGCGGCUCUCUGGACUGUUACUGACGCUGAGGUGCGAAAGCGUGGGGAGCAAACAGG